rnacentral:rRNA from 1 species
UACGGGGGGGUAAGGCGUUGUUCGGAAUUACUGGGCGUAAAGGGCUCGUAGGCGGCCAACUAAGUCAAGACGUGAAAUCCCUCAGCUUAAACUGGGGAACUGCGUCUGAUACUGGAUGGCUUGGAUUCGGGAGAGGAAUGCGGAAUUCCAGGUGUAGCGGUGAAAUGCGUAGAUAAUCUGGAGGAACACCGGUGGCGAAGGCGGCAUUCUGGACCGAUAUUGACGCUGAGGAGCGAAAGCCAGGGGAGCAAGCGGG